AUUUAUUUUGAUAAUGUGUUUACAUUUAAAUACAGUUUGAAGCUAUUUUCUCUCUGCAGUCUUCUCUUGGGCCACAGCCAUAGAAAAAGCACUGUUGCCACUAAUUUUUGAAUUCUCAAUUUCUAUCAUUUCUGCUCAGGAGAAUCUUGGGUCUUCUUACAGGGGAACAGAGAGCCUGACUAGCACUCCUACCCGGGGAGCGAGGGGAGCCUGGAGCUUCACUAAUACAAGCUAGAGGGGAGAUUUUGAUUGAUCCGAUUUAUAAAACACAAGGUUAGAGCUUUCAGCAGCUCCUUCUUGCAUCCAGCCAAAAGCAAACUCGCCAAAACAUGCUUGCUGAGAUUCUGCCUCAUUUUAAGCCUUGGUAAAAUGCAUUUCUCUCUGUGUCCUCUCUUUAAUUCGCUCUUGUCACACCCUAACAUGAUAAGCCUGGAGAAUCCAUUAGGGUGCUGAGGGAACGGAGACUUAAGAUCAAGUCACAGCAAGGGGCUUCUCAGGUGGAUAAAAUGCCAACGUGACUUAGUUUAUAUAGGAACUUGGGAGGCCCCCGAUCAACAAAUCCACUCCCCUUUAUUGACCUGGCUGGAAUUUUUGCCACAGAGAUUACAAAACUGGGAGCAAUUAGCUGGAGAUAUUAAUAGGUUCUGUCAUGUAAAGUAUUUGUAACAAAGCCUUCGGUUGAAUUCCAGACUGAGAAGUUUUACUCCUGGAGCCAAAGAAGGCUUUGUUCUGGUUGACAUCAUGAAACUAUUUUUAGGGUCCAAGUCUGCUCUGGCAAGGGGACUGAGGGUUCACUGUCCCCUCCUCCUGCCUCCAGACCUCUUGUGCCAAUGCCACCCCCAUCCCUUUUCUUCCCCAGAGCUGGGCACGUGGCUGGAUGUGACUAGGAAGAGAUGAAGGUUUCGAGAGAAUCAGUCCCUGGUGGGCUGCUCUCUCUGCAUGGCUUAGAGGGGUGGGACAUCACCUGACCCAAACUAGGGUAGGCAAAUUCUUUUCCAGCUCCUGGAAACUGUGGUUGGGAGUUUGGAAAGAGUGAGGAAGGUCAUGUGGCCUUCUUCUGACAUAGGAGACAUUUGGUUCUGUAUCAAAAAAUGUUUCUAUGAUGUCCUGACUUCCUUAUGGACUCCUAUACUCUAUGUUUGCUCAGGGUCUGAUACAAAAGGACAGAUUUGAUUUAGAAGAGAAGGAAAGGUCCCCUGAAUAUGGCAGUACUCCGAGUCCUAUUUUAUAUUUGUGGAGUUCUUUGUACUUUUUCUAUCAGUUUUAUCCUCUGAUUUAAUGUGAUCCCCUAACCACCCUAUGCAGGAUCUGGUAUCCUGGUGAUGGGGAAACUGAGGACCAGAGAAGAUAAAUCAUUUUCCCAAGGUGAUUUAAAGGAAUAACAAUCCAUAUUUCCCAAUUCCUGUUGCAUUUUUUUCCAGUAGGCUGAGCAUGUUUCCCCAGCUGGAGGAGAGGGUUUCCAGGAAGAGCCUGUCCCAAGGAAGAAUUUUUCUGCUUUGGCCUGGCAUGACCUACCACAGGGCUUUAAGCCUUCUGAAGGAAUGAGCAGCAUUUCUCACCUCCUCUCAAGGACAGCCAGGGCUCUGUGUUCCGAGAGCUGGACUUCCCUCGCCCCAGGGGAGAAACAAGUAUAGGCUUGUUUUGGGGAGGAGCUGGUUUAUCCAAGAGCUGGAGGACUUUCAGGUUGAAGGAGAAGGGAGGUCCAUCCUGAGAAAGAGUGAGAUGCCUGCACAGGAGGCUGAAGUGGUGCCAGGCUCUUUGUGAGUGGAGACCUGCGUGUACUCUGCCUCCCUACAGUGGGCUGGAGGUUGCAGGACCUUGGGUAGGAUGAGUGUGGAGAUGUCUGUGGCUUGAACAGGAACACUACCUCCCUUCCUGGCUUGGAAGAAGGAUAUUUGAAGCCGCAGAGUCUUCCCAUUGAGCAUCAAAGUAAUGAGUACAAGGCACUGAAGAAAGGCGGCCCUUCCCCAAGUUUCCUGGAUUGCGUAAACCCCAGGAUGUUUUUUAUGACCUGAAAGGAAUUAAAAGUGACUUAAGAGGCUGAGCCAGGUUUAAGCUCAUUUAGAGAAACAAAGAAAUGGGUUGUUUCUUGUGCCCAAGAGUUAUGGACUAAAUUCAUACUGUUUACAAGUUCCUCCAAAGGCUUAAAAUUCACAUCCAGUCAGCCCAUAACCCCUCCCCGGCUGUCGUCCCAUGACACACACGUGGAAGACCACUUCUCGUCUUCAUCUGUGAUUCCCCCAAACAUAACAUAGUUGGACUUUCCGUUUGGAAAGUGUUUCUUCUUUAAGGCAGCCAAUUUAAAACUAAAUUUUAG
rnacentral:lncRNA from 1 species